GAAGAUGAAUGGAAGGCAGUGGUGCUAAGACCAUCAUGGAGAUCCUAGUGUUGUAUGAAAGGAGAGAAGGUUCUCAUUCUCCUUGAUAUCGAUGGAAGAGGUUCUACUGGCCUUUACAACACCAUUGAAGAGAUCCUAACCAGGCUCUUGAAUGUUCUCUGGGCAGUAAACUAUAUGUGGCUACAGCAUGGAUUGUUUGGGUAAUAAUAAUGCAUUUAAUGGUCCCAGGAAUAUGGAAAGAUUCCAAAAUUGGGGACAUGAAGAUUUUCCUCUUUUAGUCAUUUUGGAGCAUAUUCCUUGUCUUACUCUUAGAUCUAAUUGGUAUAUUUAAGUAAUAUACUUAGAUCCAUGCCAACCUUUUGUUUUAUUGAUCCUACUUUUAAUUUAAUUUAAUUUUUAAAAAUAUCCUUAUCUUCCAUCUUAGAAUCAAUACUGUAUAUUGGUUCCAAAGCAGAAGAGGAGUAAGAGCUAGGCAAUAAGAGUUAAGUAACUUGCCCAGGAUCACACAGAUAGGAAGUAUCUGAAACCAGAUUUGAACAGCCUCCUGUCCAUCAUUCUGGGUCUUUGUCCAUUGAGCCACCUAGCUGUCCCCCUCUACUUUUAAUUUUAAAUAAGGUGUAUCUUUUCCAAGUCAUAUUCUAGUGAUGAGUCCUAAUUCGCCAAGACUCAACAUCUAUGAGGUCAAAUCUGUUUCCUUUAAUUAGGAUUUCUAUUUCAUCUAACUUGUUACUUAUACUUUGUCUACUUGCUGGUAGAUAGAAACCAUAGGUUUUACUAUUGUCUCCUUUCUUGGAUUUUGUCUCCUAUAAACUUGUACUAAACUAGUAGAUAUGAUUGUGGAUAAGUUAGCUUUCUCCCUCUUAUAACAGAUAGAUACUUGAGGGUGUAUAUUUGAGAGAUAAUAAAUGACUAAUGGAUCAAGGUUUGCCUACCCUCCUCCAUUUAUGUCUUCUUUCCUUCCCCCUUUCAAUCUCCCUUCCUCCCCUCUUCAGAAGCCUUUCAGCUUCCCCUCCCCCCUUUCUUCAGUUUCACUCAGUGUGAACUAUGAUGCUUUAGAGAAAAUACUCUUUUUCUUUAACUCAAGGGUUUAUUGGGGAAGACAGGAAAGGAUGGAGGAUAAGGUAAGAGGAAUGGGAUUUCCCUAUUCUCUAAAAUGAGGUUUAGGAAGAUAUUGAAGGUUAUGGCAAUUCAAUCACUCUUGUGACACAGAAUCAGUCAGAGAGAUAUGAGGACAACUGUCUUUCUUCUUCUGCUUUCAAAUCAGCCAGCCAGCAAAAGCCUCAGAGUUACAAAUAGCUUCUUCACCUCUGUCAGAGGCCAAAAGCCCCUCAGCCUCUCAGCCCAGUUCAGCCGUUAACUUGACUUGACUCCAACUGUCCCCCAGUCACAUUCCAAUGGAAUCUUCAUUUUGACUGACAGCUUUCUUCCUCAACUUUCUGACUUGCAUACAUGCCUUGCAAAUUCUCUCCUCCACAUGCUACAGAGGAGAUUCAGACUUUAUGUUAAAAAAUCACAGAAUUGGAGAACUAGAAGAGAUUUGAGAAUCAUUUCAUCCAUCUCAUAUCCAAGAUACCAGACAGAAGCAGUUGAACACAGAAGCAUGUGAACACAAAGCAGAAGUAUUUGAUGAACUCAAUUACACAAAUUAUUGAGGUAAAGUACCCAACAAAAACUGCUGAGAAAAUUGAAAAGCAGUCUGGGAAAAAUUAAGCUCAUACAACACCUCACACGUGUACCAUACCAUUCCAAAUGGAUACAUGACCUAGAUAUAUCACACUAUAAACAAAGUAGAGGAGAAUGGAAGGAGACAUCUUUCAAAACUAUGGAUAGGGGAAGAGUCCUUGACCAAAUGGAAUACAGAUGAUUAGAGGAUAAAAAGGAAAUAAAUUUGAUGACAAAAAUUAAAAAGAUUUUGCACAAACAAAAACAGUACAGUUAGAAUUUGAAGAAAGUUAAUUUGGGGAAAAGUCUUUGUAGUAAGUUUUACAUAAUAAAAGUACGGUAUCCUAGGUAGUAGGAAACUGACUGAAAUAAUGAAAAACAAGAGCCAUUCCUUAAUAGAUAAAGGAUAUGAACAGGAAGUUUUCAAAAGAGGAAAAGCAAUUAUUAAUCAUAUGAAAAAUGCUCCAAAGGACUAAUAAGAGAAAGACAAAUGAAAACAACUGAGAUUCAACCUCAUACCUAUCAGCCUGGCAUAGAGAGCAAAACAAGAAAAUUAUUGUUAUUGGAGGGGACAUGGAAGGACAGGAAUUUUAAUGAACUGUUUCUGGAACUUUGAAUUGUUCCAGCCAUUCCAGAAAGCAAUUAAGAACUUUUCCCAAAAGUCACUAAAUUGUUCAUAUGGUUUGAUCCCUUGUACCAAAGAAAUAUGUAAGAGAAAAAAGGAAUGGGUUCAUAUAUAAAAUCUUUAAAGGUUUACAAUGAGCUUGAAAGUCAUUUAACUCUGCUUCAAUUUCUUCAAAUGCAAUAAAACAAGGGCAAUAAUAGCAUCACCUUCACAAAGUUAUGAGAAUCAAAUGAGAUAUUUGUACAUUGCUUAGCACAAUGCCUGGCACAUAAUAGUGAUGGAGUUGGGCAGUGAGGGGCAGUAGUAGGAACGAGACCUUCAUACUCUGAAAUCUUGUAUUUCUCAUCAGUUAGCACUAGUUAAGCAUAAAACUGCAAGAUCUAUAGUUUUAGCAUUAGUCAAGCAUAAAUCACAAAAUGUAUUAAUAAUCAGUUAAGCAUUCUGUAUUAUUAAUCACUCAUAAUGGUUCUGUACUGUUCUAUUCUGUACACAAGCUCUGUGAACUGUUAGGACCAGCUUUGUGCUAUUCUGCAUUAUUAAUUACUCUCAUUAUUCUAUAUUUACUUUAGUUCUGAACGUUAGGCAUUAUUAAUUACCUAAAGUGGUUGUCUACUGUGCAACAUCUUUCACAUUGACAAAUGAUGCCAGGUGGGACCAUGGGGAAACAUGGAACAUGUGCACUAAGGGCUCUGGAAUUCCAGAAGAAUCCCCCAAAACUGCACGUGCUCCUUAUUUUCUUUCUAGUGUUCCCAACUUCACCUAUGAUGUGUCAAACACAAAACCAUACCUCUUCCUGAAGUUGGCUAUGCCCAUUUUCCAGGCUUUUCAGGAAUGGUAGAGAUUUCCUUGGAAUGGGAAAUCACAGGGCCCUAGACCCAAAUAAAUAUGCAAAUCCUGAUUUGUAGGGCCAUGGAGCUGCUACUCCAUUACCCACUGGACUAUGUUACUAAACCUAAGACUGCUCUAUUAGUCCUCAGGCUAAACCAUCAGCCCCAAGGUAAGAAUGGAAGAAAUAAAGAGCUUUUCUAUACCAUACAUAAUUUAGAUCUUUUUAGAAGGCGCUGUGAUCACCUCUUUGGGGAAAAUAUUAGAUAUGAGUCAAAUCUGAGCUUUAUUUAGUGGAUUUCCCCAGAGUUCUAUUCCAGGGUAAGGGAAGGAAAAACCUCCUGUGGGAUAGGAAUCCAAUCUAAAUAAAUUCAGACCUGAGGCCCCUAGUGGGAGAGUGUCCACCCCAAGCCCCUAUCUCCACCCUCCUACCCACCCACCCCACCCCACCCAAUGGCUCAUUAAUUUGUGACCUCCUUUCAAUCUUUCAGUUCAACUUGCUUUUGGUCACAAAAUCCAUUUUUAUUUUUUGUAGUUUGUUGUUCAUUCAUUAUUCGAUUGUAUCCAACUCUUUGUGACCCCAUUUGGGGUUUUCUUGGCAAGGAUCCUGGAGUGGUUUGCUAUUUCCUUUUCCAACUCAUUUUACAGAUGAGGAAACUGAGGUAAAUUACCUGGCUAGAGUCACACAGUUAGUAAGUGUCUGAGGCCAGAAUUGAUGCAGGAAAGUGAGUCUUCUGACUUCAACCCAGCAUUCUAUCCACUGCACCACCUAGCUGCUCUUUUUAUUCCUUAGUUUGUAUCCAACUGCCCCUGGCUAUGCUAAGUCUUCUGAGAACUCUCCUACAGAGGGAAAAGGAGGGGAAAGAAACUGAAAUAAGAAAACUUUUCAAUCUCCCUUCAUCAUGCACUCUACUCUGUACAAAUCUAGAUUUAGUUUGACUGGAAAAGCUAAAAAGGCUGAUGACCUUUAACCUGCUUUCUCCCAGAACACAUUCUGAUCUUUCUCUAUGGGAGUGACAGGAAAUGGGCACCUGUGUCUGGCAAUAAGGGAUUACAAACCAGAUUUUUUAUUCUACCUGGAUAUUAUGAUUAUCAGUGAAGAAGGCAAUAUAGAGCCAUACUCAACACAGUGGGUGUGUAGCAGCAAGGGAUUUGGAGGAGGAGAGAGAUGGAGAAAAGUAGCUGUUCUCUUUGCCCUUUGUGUUCCUGAAAUGACCAAAGUCAUAAACCUGCUUUCCUAGGGAAGGGGGGAAGAGUCCACCCACAGGAAAUCAUGCUGAAGUACCAUAAGGCCUUUGCCAUAUGCCCAUCCGCCUCACCCAGAUGUAGGACAACUGGGACUUUCCCUCCUCCCUGCAGCUGCACCCUCUUCUUUAUGUUCUCUUCCCCAGUUAGAGUUUGAGCUCCUCUCAAGCAGAAUCCCCAUCAUUUAAUCAAGUACUUGUCCCAUAGUAUUUAAUAGGUGCUUUCUCAUUUAUUUAUUCUUCCUAUAUUAACAAGCAUAUUCCCCAAAGGGAUUUUUACAUAUUGGAUGAGCCCCUCUCCCUGUGCUAAGAGAUGAUGCCCUUUACCUCGGUGGUGAAAGAGGCCACAUGUCUGAGCAGCAGACUUUGUCAAUGACAAAGUCAGGCACUGCUGAACCCUGGAGAGUAGAGAUAGAAGUCAAUGAUUUCCAUCCUCAGAUGAGGGUCGCUCUCUUGCCCUAGGAAAGGCAGCAAAUGAUUUGACUUCUUUUAGGAUCAGGAUGCUAUAUGAUAACCCUCCCCCACUAUCCUACCCAGCAAGCUCCCUCUGACCAGAGUUCCCUGGCAGGCUGUUAAAGCUGUUAAAAGAAUGAGCUCAGCUCUAGGGCAUGGAUACUUGGCAGUAAAGGCCACUAUCUGUGGAAACAUAAAAAUAGAUAAUUCCCGUACCCCCAUGUCUGAGCUCCGACUGGGGAAAAGAAGGGAGAUUCUUUGGCAACUCAGUAAAUACUGGACAAGAACACAUCAGAUUAGAUAAGCAAGGGGUCUAAUAACAUGAUGUACAGGAAGGAAUGGGAAAUUGGCAGCAAUUUUGUCUAUGGACCUACUAAGCUAAUUGGUUAUUGCACAACUGGAAAUGGGCUGAUUCCCAAGGGUACUGCCAGGGAGCUAAAUCAUUUCACAUGGAGGCAUUCUUUCUCCUUCCCCCUUUCUAUUGCCAAUGACAUCAGACUGGCCAUCUGGAUUCAAUUGAGAAAUAAUGACGUGAUAUAUCUGAAGAUGAUCCGAGAGUGUAGGCAGGUCCUAGGUUUCCUCUCUGCCUCUCACAGACAGGUUGCUUAUAAACUUUCCUGGCUGUGAUUGUGCUUUGGCAAGGAGCAUCCCUCAAGCGGAAUUAGGGGAAGGGGAGCUCAUUCCUUCUUUUAGCAGUUCAGCCUAUCUUAAUGUAUCCUGAAUUCUUAAGGGUCUUUCCUCAAAUUAUUUUCUUUUACUUAUUUGUACAUAUGUUGCAUUAGCCCUGAAGGUAGGAUUGUUUCAUUUUGGCAUGUCAUGGAUAGAGAAUUGGUCCUGGAGUUAAGAAUUGGUUUCAACCUCUUACUUUCCUUGUGUCUUUGUUUAGGGGGCAGCAAAUGUGUUUUACUUUUUUUACUUGUUUGUAUAUCAAUAUUACCUACCACACAGUAAAUGCUCAAAGAAGCUUGGGUGAAUGAGUAAACAAGUGAAUAAACAAAUCAAGGAAGGAAGGAAGGAAGGAAGGGAGGGAGGGAAGGAGGGAAGGAAAAAAGGAGAGAGAGAAAAAAUUUUCCUUAGGAUAAGCUUGCACUGGUUAAAUUUGGGAUUUCAAAGACUAUAGAAAAAUCUCAUCCUAAAUUGAUCUAAAUGAAGGGAUUAAUUUAAUAUUAUGCAAACUAUGGCUGCCUGUCUGCCUGCCCAUGCUGGGCAGCUUUUGUCUAUGCUCUCCUAUGUUCACCAACAUGAUAUAGGCCUUCCUUGCCAUUUCCCAUCUUUUCUUCCUAGCAUGCAGUAAUUCCCCAGUGAUAUUCUUUACUCUUUUUUUCUUCAGCAUUCCUUUUUGGUUAUGUGUUGUACUGCUCCUACCCCUUCUGUGAUCCUCACCAUUGUAUUCCUUUUCUCAGUGAUGGAACAGCACCACCAAAAUGAGGCUCUGAAAUGCUCUGAGGCUUGAUGGAAUCAUCAUAAUAAUAUGAAGAAACAAGAGCACCUGGAGGACCUCAGCAUCCAAAAGGAAUCCCUCCUUAAUUUGAACUCCGUGCUUGAUCUCUUCCAUCACCUUGGCCAAUAUCUUUGAGUGAAGAAGACGGGUUUAAAUUUUUCUUCAAACACUACCAGCUGUGUGACCCAAAAUCUAUAUGCUUCAAGCAACUUUCUAGAGCUUAUCAACUAAAGUCAUGCUUGAGUUGGAAUCAUGCCAGUGAAGAAAGUUUCCAUUCUAAGAGUUAUCAAUGCACUGAUCUGGGACGAUCCUGGAAGACCUAUGAUGAGAAAGGCUAUCCACCUCCGGAGCAAGAACUCUUGGAUGCUGGAGGCAUCUUAGCUCUAAGAUUUAAUAUUAAAAACUUAUAUAUGUAACUUUGGAAAAUUGCUAGUUAGUCUGAAAAUGUACCAUGAUAUAGUGUGAUUUUAUGGUAAUAAUUGUAUACUAAUCAAAGGUGAAAUGUUAGCAAAAUUCAAUUCUGCACAGUAUCUAUACUAGAGAAUUGUUUAUUGUCACUAAGAAAUUUCAGAACUCUCUGAAUGUAAUUAAUAGGCAGCUUGACACAAAGAGGGAAUUUUCCUUUUCAAAGGCAAAAAACAAUACUGGAUAAUAUUUAUGUGCAAAAUUCAGUCAGACAGAGGUUAUGGUGUAUUGUGGAGAAUCUUUUCUAAGAUUGAAAUUUGGGGUUUUAUGUGGGAUGUCUUUUAAUAACAUGUACUACAUGUUAGUAUUGAGCUCUUAGAAGUUUAAUUUGAUAAUCAAUAUGUGAAUUUAUAUAGGUAUUAAAAAGCUUAAAUUGGAAUUUUUAAUCAAUGUUAUACUUUAUUGUACUGAGAAAUUGUUUUUAUCUAUUCAAAUAUAAUCUGUUAGAAUGUCAUAAUGGAUAUAUACAAAAUUUGUAUGAAGUUGAGCUGUGAAGAAAAUCAAUUUUUAUGCAAACUAUAUAUAAUGCUAUUGGCAAAGGAAAUUCAACCUAUCCAGAAAUCAAAUAAGAUUCAUUCUUAGGCUAUUAAACAUAAGUAAAAUGUAGUCACCCCUCCCCUAUUUAUAGUAAGAGUAAUAGAGACAAAAAAUGAAGGUUUUCUUCUUCUUGGAGCAGAAGUUUGAAAGGAGAACUGGAAUCUUAAGGAAACAUUGUUAGGGAACUCUAAACAAAGUCAAUUUGGAAGUUGGGAAGUUUUAAUUAAUAUAUUGGGAGUGUUUUAAUAUCACAAUUAAAAAAAACAUGCAACUUAAGUGUUAUUGAAAAGAAAGGAACAAAAUUUUUUCCCUCGGCAAAGUACCUUUACUGGGAAAACAGCCAAGUGCAACCAGUCUUGGACCUUUUCCAAAAAUAACUCAAACCCUUCCUCAGGCAUAGGCAAGAGAUCAAAAGUGCUUGCAAUUACCUAACAUUUAUAUUAAAGGAUCAAUACAACAAAACAUCUUAAACAGGGAAAAGUUCUCAGUCACCUUAUCUAAAUUUUAGAGAUACAAUUUGAAAGCCCUGAGAAGUUAAUUGACAGCUAGAAUAGAUCUUGAUCUGAUAAUAAGAUAUAUUAAGAGGAAUCUUGAGAGUUCAUUUGAGCAAGCCCAAAUACCAUAAUUUCUAUAUACUACUAUUAAGUAAAAAUAUGAGCUUUCCUAGAAACAACACAACGACAGCAACAACAACAACAAAAAAGGGUCUUUCAGAUGAAACUGUACAAUUUGGCUAAGUGAUAAAACUGCAAAGUCCAAACUAUGUGACAAGGAAAUCACUUUAAAAGACUGAUAUAUAUUAAUUUAAGGUCGCCAAGGAAUUCAGCUAUGUAAUUCCUAAAUGAAAACUCAAGUCAGCAGUCAACCUUUUAUGGAGUUUAAUUACAAACAGGAGGAAGAAAGGUAUUAGAGAUAGAGAGAGAGAGGGAGAGAGAAAGGGGAGAGAAGGGAAUAGGGCUUAAAUACCCCUUCUGUUAGGCUGGGCCAAAAGGCCCAAGCCCUUAGAUAGCUGGAGCAAAGAAAGGAGAUCAGUCCCUAUUACUCACGUGACCAAAAUGGAGAAACAGUCUCAGGUGCCUCCACCUCCAGCUUCCUUCAGAGCCGACUCUCAAAGCACCACCUCUCCAACCAACCAACUACCCUCCGUCCUCAGACCCCUCUAUCUUUAAGGAAACUAUCCAAGUUCCCUCCCCUCAGUUCUCACAUCUACCAAUCACUGUCCAUGUCUUCCCUGUGCCAAUGGUGGCUCUAGCUUAACCCAGGACCGCCCAGAGGUCUGUGGCUUUGCACAUGUCUGUUGAAGGUCAUAUUCUCAAAUAAUUAAAUCUUGAUCCUUUGCUGCAGCCCUUCCUAAAUCCUGUUACCCUGAGUAGGGUGGAGAUUGGAAGUUCCAAGACCUGGUUCUGUCAUUCCAAGUAUCUCUAUUGUAUCAAUUCUAAAAUCAAUCAUGACUCAAAGAACUUCCUGUUCUAUGCUUAAGCAUAGGUCCAAAGCCCUUUCCAUUGUUCAGCAAAAGGUUUCUGUCCUAAAGUAAUCUUAAGAAGGGAGGAGGAGGAACCUCCCAUGCCAAUGGGGUUCACAUUCCAAUAGAGUUCUUACUAUCAGUAGGAAAUUUUUCAAGUAUGAAAUUUCCCAAUGGUGAAAUUUCCAACAUUUAUAAGUCUAAGAAAUUUUAAGGUUUACAACUACAAACACAGAAUUCUAAAGAAGCUCAGGUUAAAGAACAGAUUUCCCCCUUAAUCACAACAAUUAAUAUGUAAAGUUUGCUAAACCAAAUUAAUAAUACAACAACUUAUGAAUAAUUGGAUCAGCUAUUUAAUAUGCUAAUGGGAAUAUAUCAGAAUGAAAAGAUUUAUGGUUCAGGUGGUUUGGAUAAAAAUUUUGAGGAAAUAUCUAGAUUACCUUUGUACAUCUACAUACCAGUCUUUCCUGUGGAUGCUUCUGUGUGGGCCAUGGUGCAUCCAUGGUGAGGAUUUGGGACUGCAUUUUGAGAAGUUGAGUGUGUUGACCCUUCAAAGGAGAUUAUUUGGAGUUGCUAGGAUACAAACUUGAUGGAAUCAUUCCCUCGCUCCCCCUUCUUUUCUUUCUCCUCCCAACUAGAGUGAAACAGACAUUUACUGGCUAUGUGAGAUUUAAAAUGGUUGAGGUCUUAAACUGUAGUGAGUUAAAAUGGUGGAAAAUAUAAAUUGUGAUAGAUAUAAGGGAGGGUGAGUAAAUUUGACCGCAGAAAAUAUGUUUCACUACAGUGUCUUGGUUUUUAAAUCAAAUAUAAGGUGGUCGCCAGGGAAAUAUUCCCAAUUAUUCAAAUACCCAAGUCAAUUGGGUUUUAUAGAGAUUUUAAUUAACAAUACAAUGAGUAAUCAAAGAAAGAGAGAGAGAGUAAGAAGGGAAUAAGUAUGAAGGGCCUCAAGCCAAUAUGGCCUAGACCUGAGUCUUAAGAGAGAAAUCAGUCAGUUUUUUAACACUCACCAUAAGGUCUGACUAAACAAGGAUUCUAGUAACACCAGGCCAGCUCCAUCUCAGCUGACUUCACCAGAGAGCCUUCCAGCCAGAUACUGUUCCAAAGGGCCUUUCUCCAGAGCCUCUCUCAAGAGAUUCUUCCCAAGAGAUCCUCAUCAGAGAUCCUCCAAAAGGAUUUCUCCAAAAGGAUAUCUCUUCAAGAGAUUCUGCUUUUUCUUAUAUAGGGGUUUUUCUCCCAUGUCACCUCUCCUAAGUCCCUACAUCUACCAAUCACUGUAGACGCUUUCCAAAGGACUGCCCAUCUGAAUUCCUGCUAAGUCAACAAAUCUCAGUAAGUCUGAACCAGUGAGAAAACAGCUGAGUCAACUAAUCUCAUUAAGACAAAACUUGCCAGACCCUUUUAGGUACCUAGCAUCUCGUUGUAUCAAUUCUAAAAAACAGGCCUGGAUCAAAGAACUCCUUGCCCCACCAUAAGCAUGGAUCCAAGUACUUUCUUUGUUUAGCAAGGAGUUUUCUCCCCCAAAGCAGUCUUAAGUACGGGUGGAGUAGAGGUCCUCCCAUUUCUGAUCCUGGCGAGUUCUCACAUCAAAAUGGGGAAUGUUUCUCAGUAGGGAAUUUGUUCCAAUUCCCCGAUGAGAAAAUAUUUUUAACAUUCACAAGUCUGAGAGAUUUCAAGAUUUACAGCUAACAAUCAGAAACAGGUUUUUUGAUUACAAAUAAUUUCAUUGGUUACUGGAAAAGGGACUCCAUUAUCCACCAACAUGUAUGGGAAUCCACAUAUUUUUUUAAAACAAAAAUCCUAUGGUUUUAAAACACUACUAUUAAAGAUUUUUUAAUUUAAUUUUUGAGUUAACUUGUCUCACACACACCCUUUACUCCGGUUAUAGCAAGUUACCAGUUACCCCUCCCUUUUUCUACUGCAGUGAAAAAGUAUUCUUAGAGAGCACAAAAAUAAUUCUAUCACAAAUAGGAUUAUAUUAAAUUUAAACAUACUUUAAUAUAGGAUAAUUUUUCACCACUAUAGCGACAUGUACAUAAAGCUUCUAUGCAGCAAAGUUAGUGAGAACCUUACACUUUUUUGAGGUAAAUAUGUGAACAUGUAAGCAACCUGUUUCCAAAUUAUGAUAAAGAUUGAAAUUUUUGUCCUUUAAGAAGUAAAUAACCACAUCUAUUAUACCUUGCCUUUAUUGAUAUCUGAUGUUUACUCUGUACAUGUAUAUUUCUAAACAAAAUCUUUUUCCCCUGCAUUUCUGAAAUUCUGAUUAGCCUACAAUCAAAUUUCAAAAGUGUAAUUUAGCUAUUUACUAGGGAGGUAUAAUAAAAAAUUUUAAGUUAAAGGUUGUGACCUUUAGGACAUAUCCUCACCAUGACUCCCACUCCAACAACAAGCUACAUGACACACCCCAGCAGGAAGGCAAUGAAGAAAAUGCAGAUACAGAGAGACUGUGUUAAGACAACAGCCCAGAAUGCUCUACCUACUUGGGAACAAAUCAAGACACCUGCAGCCCAAGCACAAGCAGGAAUUUUCACCUCCUGAUUGCACUGCUACCUUCAAAUGACUCUGACUUUCUCAGUGGUCCUACAGAUGCAUACAAUGACUCUUAGAAUUUCUUGUUCAGGAUGUAUUUUAAACAAUUGUUUUAAUCCCUUUACUGUAUUUUUUAUUGAACAAUAUUCAGGCAUUUAUGCCCCACAAUGGAUUUCCCAAAGUUUAAGCCACUUUAAGCUUACAUCCCUAGCAACUUCCAUUGCAGCCAUUGCUCAAGGAGUUCACACUGCACAACAGUCAUCGUCCAUAACUAGGUUCUACCCCAAAUCAAGCUUAAGAUGAAUUGAUGUCACUCCAUUUAAAAAACAAAAAGGGAGGAGAUGCUGAAGGCCAUCAUACCCUCACUGACUGACAAGGUCACAGUCUGGGGAAAUGGGGUCUGCAAGGAAGCCCCCAGAGAAUGAGGACCCCACUCAUCCCUCUCUAUGACUUCUCACUCUUUAACUUCCCUCAAUAAUGGAUGAUUAUUAUUCUCUCUCUAACACAAAAGAAAUAAGAGCAAAGACUUACAGAAUAAACAUAUAUCCCACCUUAAUCCCCCCAGACUAUAACCCUAAAAGAUUACAUUCACAGAAUUAAAACCUAGAGAUCACUACCCAUUGUCCUCCUCCUUUCCUUCCCCACAGAGCCACAUUCACUCCCAUGACAAGUCAGGCAAGCCAAGAAAACCAAUCACCUUCAAUGCACACUCCACUGAAUUCUGUUUAUGAACAGAAACCAGGCAACACUGCCAGAUGCUUUAAAGUAACACAAGAAAAAUAGAACUUGGAAAUUGAGGAAAACCCCAAAUCUGGUCUGUCAUUAAAUUGCCCUCUAACCUUGUACCUAGCUGUGAAAUGUUUUGUUACCCAUCACCUAAGUAAUUGUGAUUGAUUGUGAAAGCUGACCAAAAGUAACAAUGAUUCUCCUAGGUCAGGGAGAACUAACCUCUAGAUCACAUCAGUAUAUUUAUAGUUUUAUUUUGGGGUUUUGGUUAUAUACAGGUUUGCCCUUACAACAGUUACCAAUAUGGAUGUGUGUUUUGUAUGACAAUUA